UACGAAGGGGGCUAGCGUUGCUCGGAAUCACUGGGCGUAAAGGGUGCGUAGGCGGGUCUUUAAGUCAGGGGUGAAAUCCUGGAGCUCAACUCCAGAACUGCCUUUGAUACUGAAGAUCUUGAGUCCGGGAGAGGUGAGUGGAACUGCGAGUGUAGAGGUGAAAUUCGUAGAUAUUCGCAAGAACACCAGUGGGCAGAAGGCGCUCACUGGCCCGAUACUGACGCUGAGGCACGAAAGCGUGGGGAGCAAACAGG
rnacentral:rRNA from 1 species